AUUGAACGCUGGCGGCAGGCCUAACACAUGCAAGUCGAGCGGAGCGGCGGACGGGUGAGUAAUGCCUAGGAAUCUGCCUGGUAGUGGGGGAUAACGUCCGGAAACGGGCGCUAAUACCGCAUACUAUCAGAUUAGCCUAGGUCGGAUUAGCUGGUUGGUGGGUUAAAGGCCUACCAAGGCGAAGAUCCGUAACUGGUCUGAGAGGAUGAUCAGUCACACUGGAACUUAGACACGGCCCAGAUUCCUCCGGGAGGCAGCAGGGGGGAGUAUUGGACAAUGGGCGAAAGCCUGAUCCAGCCAGGCGGGGUGUGGGAAGAAGGUCUUCGGAUUGUAAAGCACUUUAAGUUGGGAGGCGUUACCAACAGAAUAAGCACCGGCUAACUUCGUGCCAGCAGCCGCGGUAAUAC
rnacentral:rRNA from 1 species